rnacentral:lncRNA from 1 species
AUUCCGCCUGAGAUAGGAAGCUUAUCCAAACUAACUCAUCUCGAUUUGUCAUACAAUGAACUCAACAGUGAUCUGCCUCUCUCACUUGCAAAUCUCACUAACUUACAUGUGCUUGACCUUUCUUAUAACAGCAUUGUCGGUGUCAUUCCGCCUGAGAUAGGAAACUUAUCCAAACUAACUCAUCUCGAUUUGUCAUACAAUGGACUCAACAGUGAUCUGCCUUUCUCACUUUCAAAUCUCACUGAAUUGCAGAUACUUGACAUUUUCUCAUAGUCGUCAGUUUUAGACAUAAANGAUAGGUUACCUCUCCAAACUAUCUCAUCUCAAUUUGUCACACAAUCAACUGUACAGUGAAUUGCCUCUGUCACUUGCAAAUCUCACUAACUUACAGGUGCUUGACAUUUCUUAUAACGGUUACAAUUCUGGUGUCAUUCCGCCUGAGAUCGGAAGCUUAUCCAAACUAACUCAUCUCGAUUUGUCACACAAUGGACUCAACACUGAUCUGCCUCUCUCACUUGCAAAUCUCACUAACUUACAGCUGCUCGACCUUUCUCAUAAUAGAAUUGUCGGUGCCAUUCCGCCUGAGAUAGGAAGCUUAUCCAAACUAACUCAUCUCGAUUUGUCAGUCAAUAGACUCUACGGUGAUCUGCCUCUCUCACUUUCAAAUCUCACUAACUUACAGCUGCUUGACAUUUCUGAAAACAACAUUUCCAGUGCCAUUCCGUCGGGAAUAGGUUACCUCCAGCAAUUGAUUGUUCUUGAUUUGAGCCACAACAGCAUCAGUGGCUCUCUGCCCUCAACUAUGCGCCAAUUAACAAGAUUGGAAUUGUUGAAAUUGGACGGCAAUAUGUUGGUAGGUGUUUUUGAGGCAGGAAUACAAAUGCUUCCUUCAAUUAAAACAGUAGACCUCAGUAGGAAUACAAUCGAAGGAAGGAUACCUUUUGAGUUUGGAGAUGCUGCUAAUGCACCGUUCUUGAAUAUCGAUCUGUCUCAUAACCAUCUUUGUGGUAGAGUUCCCGAAUCUCUUUCGCAUUUGGAUGGAAUCGAUCUGUCCUACAAUCGUUUAGAAGGUCGAAUUCCACUAGACAUCUGGCGUAAAUUUCCAGAGGAAUCGUUCUUCGGAAAUUCAGAGUUACGUCAUUAUCCAAAUGAAGCCAAACAUCCUCGAAAUGCUGUUAUUGCUGUGGUGAUACUAUUUGGAUGUGUGUUUUUGUUUUCAUCAGGUUUGAUUCUAACCUUUUACUUAAGAAGGAAAGCAGCCUCUGCAGUCACACCUCAUGAUGACCAGAGACAUGGAGACAUAUUCAAGAUAUGGAACUUCGAUGGAAACAUCGCCCAUCAACACAUCAUCCAAGCAACAGCAGACUUCGAUUUCGGGUACUGCAUCGGAACUGGAGCUUACGGGAGCGUCUACAGAGCUCAACUGCCAACUGGAAAAGUCGUUGCUGUCAAAAAGCUUCACAGAUUCGAAGGAGAGAAUCCUAGUUACGACAUGUGUUUCAGGAAUGAGGCAAGGGUGCUCUCUGAGAUUCGCCAUCGCCAUAUUGUCAAGCUUUUCGGUUAUUGCCUGCACAAGCGGAGCAUGUUCCUCAUCUACGACUACAUGGAAAGAGGAAGCCUGUUUAGUGUGUUGAAGGACGAGAGCGAAGCCGUGGAGUUAGAUUGGAAGAAGAGGGUGAAUGUGGUGAAGGGCAUUGCAAAUGCACUAUCUUACAUGCAUCACGAUUGCACGCCGCCAAUUCUGCAUAGAGACAUUUCGAGCAGCAACAUCCUCUUGAAUUCACAGUUUGAAGGUUGUUUAUCUGAUUUCGGAACAGCUAGAUUGUUGGAUCCAGACUCAUCCAAUCGGACUCUACUAGUCGGAACUCGCGGCUAUAUCGCGCCAGGUAUCGAUAAACACAACUUGGAUGAAUUAAUACACAUUUUCCCCCCAUCAAUUUUCAUGAUAGAUAUGUUUGCUGCUUGCAGAACUAGCCUUUACCAUGGUGGUUACAGAGAAAUGUGAUGUGUACAGCUUCGGAGUUCUGGCACUGGAAAUCGUGUGUGGGGACCACCCAGGGGAUUUCGUAUCCUCCGUGACCACGAUGAAGGGAUCAUCCUCAUUCGCACAGUUUGCUCAAAACUUGAUGGUGCAACAACUCCUGGACAAGAGACUAGCAUCUCCAGAUGAAGAUGUAAGAGUGUCCCGGGAAAUCGUUGGAGUGGUGAAAAUAGCUCUCAAAUGCGUAAGUUCUGAUCCGAAAUCGCGGCCGUCUAUGAAGGAGGUGUCUCAGGAACUCGCUGCGAACCCGCCACGCUUGUCGAUGCCCUUUCGCUCCAUAUCAGUGCUGCAGCUGAUGCAUUCAGAUUGAGCUCACAACUGCUUUUUUUUAACUAAUAAGCUUAAAGAUAGAUGUUGAAGUGCUUAUGAUACAUACUAGUACUAGGUUUGUUAAGGGUGUCCUCAACUGAACUGGAUCAAAAUAUUGAAAACUUGUUCACACUGGAUGGUGCUGAAGGUGAUAUUGAUCAUUAUUAUGAGUAUCUAUCUUUGAGUUGGAUGUUUUUCUUGUAAUGGUAGUGGCAGGCAUCUUGUCUUUGUCUUCAACUUUUCUCCAUUGUUCUUGUUUACUUUUUGGGUUCUGGAUUUGAGUUUUGAAUGACUUCAAAGGACCUGGUUUUGAGCCACUUGAUGAUAUAUAGUAAUUCAUACUUAUAUGAAAUAAGAUCACAUUCUAGAAUUGUCAAAAUCCUUGUCUAUAUUCAAUAAUAUGACAAUGUAUACCUACCCGAGUUUCGUCUACGGCUCGAUGACGAUUUUCCCGGUGGCGUGGCCGUCGAUGCUCUUCGUCCAAGCGUUGCCGGCCUUGGUUCUCGAGUCGAUGACCAUCUUGAGCUUCCCUUGUCUCACUAAAUCAACAAGAUACCCUUUUACUCGCCUUGGGGAUGAGGAGCUAUAUUGAUGGUUGUGAUGAUGGCUCGCCAACAUAUGAAAUCAAAUUUCAAUGAACCUUAAAAUAUAAGAACUGUAUAGAGUUGAAAAAAAUAUAAAUACAUGAAUUUAAUCGUAACCUGCUAUCUUCUUCCCCUUCUUAGUCAUUGUCCCUACAAACAUUAAAAUAUAAUAAAUUUAUUGUAACACCAUACCCCACAUUUCAAACGAAUAUAAUAGGAAAUUCAUGGGGGGACCAUAUGCACAUACAAUAAUACUUGAAAGUACCAUCUAAUACUGUCAAAAAGUUAUACUUUUAAUAAUUUUCUACUCAAUAUAAACCUUGAUUUGUCGAUUUCAUAACCAUUUCAUAAAGUAUUGAGCGACCUUGCUCUGCCUAUUUCUUAAACUAUUCAGAAUAACUCAACAAACAAGAACAAACAGAAAUUAAAACCCUAACUAUCUACUCGGAUGAAUCGCAGAUAUAUUGUAUAUUAAUCGCCAUUGUGAUACCAAAAGAAGUUUCCGAUUUGACAGGAGUUUCGUAUGAAUUUUCGAAUAAACAGAUGAACUAAAUCAAACAAAUGAACCCUAACUACUUACUCGAUGAUCGCCGGUGAAAAUAGAAAAAUGUCGCUGCAAAUGGACUUCAAGCGCCGUCUGGUAUAGAUGAAGCGCCGCCUGGUAGAGAAGAAUCGCCUUCGCCUCUAGGGUUCUCAGUCAACGAUGGGUUGGUAGACGAAAGUGGGGGGAAGAUGGUAUAGUAAAUGUCCUAAUUUACUGGAGUUAAUUUAGGAAUUGACAGUUUUCUAAAUAGACAAAAGGUCUAAUAUACCCCCAACGUUUUUUUAUAUGAUUUUUUAAGUUAUUCAGUAAAUUACAAAUGUAGAUUAAUUAUUAAAUAGUUUUAAUCUGGACCAUUAAUUUAUUCAGAUCCUAUGGUUAGGAUUAAUUCCUUAUUCUUUAUACUAAGGGAAUUCUUUGUAGAUCCCCACGGUCCCACCCCCUAUAGAGAGAGAGAGAGAGAGAAUGGCAAAUUUUUGUGACACCUAAGAACUAAUCCUAUCCAUUGAUUGUGUGAAUCCAACGGCUGGCACAUGAUUACAUUUUCAGCCUAUAAAGUUGGCGAUAAAGGGCAGCAUUGUAUUUCCUCAAUUCUCAAAUCCGUUACUUUCCUUAUUUCAUGCAAGGUAAUAUCCAUAAUUAUGGUAUUUUAGAUUUUGGUCAAACAAACAUAUCAUCUAUUACCCACUAACUCACGUUUUUAGUGAAAUUGCAUAUCUUGGUGGUUUUAUCUUUUAGCCAUCAAGAAUCGAUUUGCCAAAAAUUUUGAAGCCAUUUUACAUUCUGUACCCCACGUCUCUUUUUUGGCAUAACAAUCAUCCGCAGAGCUUCGAUUCUUUUCUCCUCAAUUCCAACAAUGUCUGACGAAAGUUAGUAAUCGGUUGUUCAUGUGUUAAUUCCAUUGACAUUUGUUGCUUAAUUAUACGCCGAUCUCAGUUUUCAUUUAUAUUUUGUAAAUGGUUUUGUAUUCAGCACUUGAAUUGAGAUAGUUUGUUUAAAUAGAGACGAAGCUGAUAUGUUAUGUGUUUUAAAUUGAUGAUUUUUAGUAGUGUGAAUACAUAAUUUAUAUUUCUGUUCAGUUGAAUAGUCUUAUUCAAGUCAUAACCUUCAUUGUUUCAUGAGUUCAAUUCAUAGGUUAUGUUAUUUUUUAACCCAUUGUUAUUUUUGGUCUUUAUAAGUAUGAAGUUAUUUUGUUUUAUGUUAUGAAUUAGUGAUUACAAGUAGUUUUAAUACAUAAUUUAUAUAUAUGUUCAUUCGAAUGCGUGCAGUCAAGGCAUGAUUUCAAUUUUCUGAUGAAGGUUAGCUAAUCGAAUUUUUAUAGCGUUAAUUCCACCGUUUUCUUGUUAGUUUAAUUUUUAUCGUGUAUCUUAGUUUUUGUAUAUAUGUUUUAGUUUCAGUCGUAUUCAAUUUUACACUUGAAUUGAGAUUGUUUUGUUAAAUAGCUUCUAAGUUAUGACUUAGUGAUUAUAAGUAGUAUGUGUAUAUAAUUUAUUUAUUUUUUCUGUUCAGCUGUAUAUUUUUAUUGAAGUAUGAAUAUUCACUAUUUCAUGAGUUUGAUUGUUAUGUUAUGUUACUUUUAUCCCAUUGUUAUUUUUGAUUUAAUAAUUAUGAAGUAAAUAUUUUUUAUGUUAUGAACUAUUUAUGUUCAUUUGAAUAUGUUUAUUCAAGUUUGAAUAUUCAAUAAUUUAUGAGCUUGAUUGAUAUGUUAUUUUAUUCUUAAUCCAUUGUUAAUUUUUGUUACAUAUUUUAGAUAGUUGUUCCUCUGUAUUUUGUUAUUCAAUGUAGUACAUACUAAAGGUAGCGGAUGUGGUGGUCGGAGGAAGUCGACGAGGGAGAAAUUAGUUGAGCAAGCUUUGAAGCCCAAGAGAAGAUGCAAGAAGUGCAAUAAGUUGGUUAAUCACGACUCUAGGAACUGUCCAGGAAUUGACGCAGUAGAAGAAUGAACUACUAUGGGUUUUUUUUUGUUAUUUAGUUGUGGAAUCCAUCAUCCAAGUUUUAAUUUUCACAUCUAUUUAUCUCUCAUGAACAAUAUUUGGAAGUUUUAUUCAUUACCUUAGUUUGUUGUUUGAACUGUGUUGAACAUACCUUCUAUUCGUGACUGUAGUAAUUGAUGAACAAGAAAUUUUCAAUUAAUGAACAUGUUCUUUGUUCAUGUAUAUUUUCACAUGAAUAAACUCGAAUGCUGACAGGGCUUGUUCACAUGAAUUUUGUAACCUCAACGUAUGUUGUUCGCUCGAACAUAAAGUCACAUUCAUGCGUGUUGUUCAUUCAUGAUUAAAUUGUUCAUGUAUGUUGUUUGUGUGAAUAAAACAAAUGUAGAUUUAUAUAUUACAUUAGUUUGUGCUUUGAAAAAUUUUCACCUUACCUUUUAUCCAUGAUUGUAUUGAAUUAUGAAUAGACAUUUUCCAAUUAAUGAAUAUGUUUUUGGUUAUAAAUUCUGAACAUGGAACAUCAUUUAUAAAACAUUAAAAAAAGAGAAAAGGUGCAGAUUGGCCCCCGAAGUAGUAGCCCCUAUAGCGUAUAACCCCUCUUACUCAUUGUGUGUGCAACUAAACCCCUGAACUCCGAGAAAAUGGUGCAAAUUCCCCCCUCUAACCUAACGCCGUUAAGUGUCCGUUAACGUUUGGGUUUAAUUGCACCAUUUACUUCAGGGGUGGAUCAGCACCUUAUUUAUUUUUAUUUUUUUUAAUUUCAGCAACCCACCUUUGGCAUCAACUUAACCACCCCCGUAUGUUAGGUCUGGGGGGUCUCGAAUAGGUGUAUGGGGGGGGGAAUACACCUAUAGGCUAUUUUCACAACAAUCUACUGACCUCAAUCAGAGGGACCUCAGUCAGAGAUCAAAACGAAACUUUACAUGCAAACAAGGACUCCUGUUUUACUGAAAUCAGUUUUGACCAACAGGGUUGACGACUGAUACUGAAAGCUCUUCAGUAAUGAGUUAUUAGUUAAGUUGCUGGAACUUAACUGAUCCAAGUAAGGGCUUCAGUCGUGUUUGCUAAGAUAGAGAUGAUAUCACUCUUCCUUACUAUCAGAGGAUAGUUUAGUCAGAUUGAUAUCAUACGCAACGGAAAUUAAACUUCGUUUUGUAAUAGCCUCGGUGGAGCAGAUAGUUGGAUUAAGGUUUCUCUUUGCUGUUAGUCAGUGUUCAGUUUUAUCAAUAGAAAUAGCACAAGUAAGAAUGUAAAACUGAAAGCUGUAAAUAACACAGAGACUUUUACGUGGUUCGGAAAAACCCUUUCCUACAUCCACAACUGGUUGAUCAGACCAACGAUCCACUCCGCAAGUGCUUCACUGGUGCACUGCAAACCGUACCCGUGUGCUUGUCUGGUGCACACAAUCGUAAACUGAAGAAAACCCUUCUUCAACACCCACACACCUCGCGUAGGAUUUCCCUGCUAAGCACACCUCGUGCUCAAACUUUUCACUCAGAGUUCAGAGUACCUUCCUGAACUCCGAACCACUCAAACACUCUUAUGGGGGGAGGUUUGAACGAGUGCCAACUAUACUUACAAAGAACAAGUUCUUUGAAGCAAGUUUGACCUUUGGCUUCUGGGUAAACAGAUAUAUGCCUAGGGUCUAAGAGAAUGUAUGUAAUCAGCAGUGACUGAUUUUGGCUUUGGAAUUCUCUUCUUCGAUUCAAGCUUUGGGGCGGUUAAGCUUUAGGCUGAGUAGCAAUUUCGGCAGAGCUUCAGCUUAUGUCGUCGAAUCGGUGAAGGUUGAAGUGAUCCUCGAGCGCUAUUUGUAGGAGAACUCUUGAAUAGAUCCGUUGGCGUAAAUCGUCCUCAAGAUUUCUUCCGUUGGAGAGCAAUUCGAAUUUGGGCUGAGGCUUCAAUCUUCGAGGUUCCUUGUCUGUGUGGAAACGACUCUCUUUGAUGGACAGGAGAUGUGACAUCUCUGAAAAGUAACCACCAGAUAGGAAUGACCUCUGCAGAGAUAAGAUAUUCUGAGAUCUCUGCAUUUAAUGCGGCUGUACUUGUGCGUACGUGGCUUCCUCUGAACGUUGGAAGAUCAGUCCUAGGAGGAAUGUUCAACUGAUACUUGACUUUAGUAUCAGUCCUUUGCGCGCAUUAAAUAAUCAGUCUUCAACUGAUUCUUCAACUGAUACUUCAGUUGGUAUCUGCAGUCUUCAGUCUUCAGUCUUCGUUCUUCAGUCUUCAGUCUUCGACACCGCAACUAAACUAGAAACGAACUCUAACACUUGAGUUCAAAACGAUUCUAGUCUAUUACAUAUAAGUCCUAUGAAUUUUGGUAUCAUCAAAACAAGGGUUAGGAUAUUCCACAAGGUUCCCAACACAUACUCAUCGAUUCUAACUUGCACCUUGUUAGCUCUCACGCGCCCAAUCUCUUGGUUGUCGACUGCCCACCGCUUACAUGUAGCAACGGCCACCAGAUCUUCACCGCCCCCGCACAACAUCAUCUCCUCCAACACCUUAACCUUUUAGGCUUAUCUUAUGAUAUUAAUUGUGUAUAUAUUUAUCUAUAUAAUAUAUAUUUAAAUUUUAUUUAUUUAUUUUUGAAUAAUUAUUAAAAACUCUAGAUAAUAAUUAUGAUUUUAUUUUUGGUUAAUUUAAUAUUUAUAAAUUUAUUUUAAAAAAGAAAAAAGAAUGGAUCCGGGUCAGGACUCGAGACCCUGUGAAUCUAAUGGAUCNCCAUCCCACCACAGAUAGGUUACCUCUCCAAUCUAACUCAUCUCGAUAUGUCAGACAAUAGACUCUACGGUGAUCUGCCUCUCUCACUUUCAAAUCUCACUAGCUUACAUGUGCUUGACCUUUCUUUCAACAACAUUGUCGGUGCCAUUCCGCCUGAGAUAGGAAGCUUAUCCAAACUAACUCAUCUCGAUUUGUCACACAAUAUACUCAACAGUGAUCUGCCUCUCUCACUUGCAAAUCUCACUAACUUACAGCUGCUUGACCUUUCUCAAAACAGAAUUUUCGAUGGCAUUCCGUCGGGAAUAGGUUACCUCCAGCAAUUGAUUGUUCUUGAUUUGAGCGGCAACAGCAUCAGUGGCUCUCUGCCCUCAACUAUGAUCCAAUUAACAAGAUUGGAAUUCUUGAAAUUGGACUCCAAUAUGUUGGUAGGUGUUUUUGAGGCAGGAAUACAAAUGCUUCCUUCAAUUAAAACAAUAGGCCUCAGUGGGAAUUCAAUCAAAGGAAGGAUAC